AACGAACGCUGGCGGCAUGCCUAACACAUGCCAGUCGAACGAGACCUUCGGGUCUAGUGGCGCACGGGUGCGUAACGCGUGGGAACCUGCCCUUAGGUUCGGAAUAACUCCCCGAAAGGGGUGCUAAUACCGGAUAAUGUCUUCGGACCAAAGAUUUAUCGCCUUUGGAUGGGCCCGCGUUGGAUUAGCUAGUUGGUAGGGUAAAAGCCUACCAAGGCGACGAUCCAUAGCUGGUCUGAGAGGAUGAUCAGCCACACUGGGACUGAGACACGGCCCAGACCCCGGCGGGAGGGGGCAGGGGGGAAUAUUGAAAAAGGGGGGAAGGCCUGAUCGAGCAAUGCCGGGGGAGUGAGGAGGGCUUGAGGGUUAAAAAGCUUUUUUACCCGGGAUGAGAAGGACGGUACGGGAAGAAUAAGCCCCGGCUAACUCCGUG
rnacentral:rRNA from 1 species